rnacentral:lncRNA from 1 species
UUUUAACAUUUUAUUUCAUUGAUUCUCCCCGCUGCCUACCCACCCCCAACAGAGAAGACAGAGAAGCACGAUUUCUAGCCAGUAAAAUGGGAAUCAUAGCAACAUUCCGAUCAUGGGCAGGUAUUAUUAAUUUAUGUAAACCUGGAAAUUCUGGGAUCCAGUCUCUAAUAGGAGUACUUUGCAUACCAAAUAUGGAAAUAAGGCGAGGUCUACUUGAAGUGCUUUAUGAUAUAUUUCGUCUUCCUCUACCUGUUGUGACUGAGGAGUUCAUAGAAGCGCUACUCAGUGUAGAUCCAGGGAGGUUCCAAGACAGUUGGAGGCUUUCAGAUGGCUUUGUGGCAGCUGAGGCAAAAACUAUUCUUCCUCAUCGUGCCAGAUCCAGGCCAGACCUCAUGGAUAAUUAUUUGGCACUCAUACUCUCUGCAUUUAUUCGUAAUGGACUUUUAGAGGGUCUAGUUGAAGUGAUAACAAACAGUGAUGAUCAUAUCUCAGUUAGAGCUACCAUCCUUUUAGGAGAGCUUUUACAUAUGGCAAACACAAUUCUUCCUCAUUCACAUAGCCAUCAUUUGCACUGCUUGCCAACCCUAAUGAAUAUGGCUGCAUCCUUUGAUAUCCCUAAGGAAAAGAGACUGCGAGCCAGUGCAGCCUUGAACUGUUUAAAACGCUUCCAUGAAAUGAAGAAACGAGGACCUAAGCCUUAUAGUCUUCAUUUAGACCACAUUAUUCAGAAAGCAAUUGCAACACACCAGAAACGGGAUCAGUAUCUCCGAGUUCAGAAAGAUAUAUUUGUUCUUAAGGAUACAGAGGAAGCUCUUUUAAUUAACCUUAGA